GCAGCCGCCGCGGUAAUACGUAGGUGGCAAGCGUUGUCCGGAAUUAUUGGGCGUAAAGGGCUCGCAGGCGGUUUCUUAAGUCUGAUGUGAAAGCCCCCGGCUCAACCGGGGAGGGUCAUUGGAAACUGGGAAACUUGAGUGCAGAAGAGGAGAGUGGAAUUCCACGCGUAGCGGUGAAAUGCGUAGAGAUGUGGAGGAACACCAGUGGCGAAGGCGACUCUCUGGUCUGUAACUGACGCUGAGGAGCGAAAGCGUGGGGAGCGAACAGGAUUAGAUACCCGUGUAGUCCCUGUCUCUUAUAC
rnacentral:rRNA from 1 species